rnacentral:siRNA from 1 species
UCUAGAUGAUUUUGAAUUGCUUA